rnacentral:lncRNA from 1 species
CACCUCAGAGCCUACCCUAUUUAUUCCCAGCAUGGACCUAAAUCCACUUCAGCCAAAAAUGAACAAAGAAAUGAUGAAGAACAGAGCCUGUUUCUUUCUCAGUGGUGUACUCAGCCAACUCAGCCUGGUUAAGAACACCUGUUGAAGAACUAGUGCAGGCGUUUGGAGGACAUAGGACACUCUGGCCAUGGCAUGAGAUCAAGACUGAGUGUAAAGCAGAGGUGGCUUGCUGUUCUGAUGAUCAAGGCUGUGCUUCACGACUUGUGUGGAGCUAAUGAGGUGGUUUAAACGAGCUACUUCAACAGAAUCAUCAUAUUUAAUUAAUUUAUUUUAUUUUAAUUCAUUAAUUGUAAUGAAUUCUUUUCACUAUUGCUUGAGAGAGAAUGACAUAAAACAAUUGUUUUUUUAAAAAUUAUUAUUAUACUUUAAGUUUUAGGGUACAUGUGCACAACGUGCAGGUUUGUUACAUAUGUAUGCAUGUGCCAUGUUGGUGUGCUGCACCCAUUAACUCGUCAUUUAGCAUUAGGUAUAUCUCCUAAUGCUAUCCCUCCCCUCUCCCCCGACCCCACAACAGUCCCCGGUGUGUGAUGUUCCCCAAUGUCAAGUGUAUGUUGCAGCAGAGCAGUAUUGGAACUGUUCUCAUCAUAAAUUCAAAUGUACCCAUCAGCCACAGCUCUCUCAGCCACAGACAGUUAUUGGGUAUCUCUCAAUCCCCUACUUGUCCCCUCCAAUGAUGCAUUUAUUAAUUUGCACCACUUGCAUCACUUGCUCUGUACAGCAGUCAUUUGAGGUAGGUAUUGCUGCCCAUGUUCAAUUGCUUAGAAUGCAUCACAUAAUUUAUUCUCUAUAAUAAUACUAAGUAGGUAUUUAAAAAAUCCUUGUUAACAUGAGAAAUUUGAAGCUCACAGAAGUUAAAUAGUGGGAUUAGUUAUCGGAUCCAGAUCUUUUAUGACUCCAGCAUUCCUAAUCACCAUUAUAUAUUACAUGUUAUAUCAUGCUAUACAUAUUAACAUUAUGGUAUGUCUCCCCAUUUCCUAGGAAUGUUUUUUCCAUUCAAAUAACUUACAUUACCACUCCUUUGUUUGCCUAUAACAACAAUAUGACUAUUUUUCCCUUUUUUACAAUGUCUACUAGGAAGCUUAGAUCCAAAUAUGAGGCUUAAUUGUAGUAAUGUUGAUGAAUUGCAUGUUUAAUCUUUCUUAGUCUUGGUAUCUUACUCACUUAUUUGUAUUUUGCCCAGGCUUGAUUUUUAAUUCUAUCCUUGAAUUUUCAUUUUAUCAUUUGUUUUAAUGCCUCCUUCAAGUCACACAGUCAGAUCCUUUGUGGAAGACGAUGAAUGGGUGAAUAAGUAUUUAAAGCAUGUGUUCAUAGCGUCAUCAAUUUUACAACAGGGUGGAUUAAACAUACGAUAAUUAUGAAUUAAAAGUGACCUAUGCUUCUGGUUGUUUCCACAAGUCAUCAAGUCCCCAAAAAUCAAGUGAUAAAUAUAUAUUUUUUGAGAGUCAAUAUUGUGAAUUAUUAUCUGGAAUAAACAUCUUUAAGAGUGUGCUAAGUUUAACAUGUCAUUCAAUAACUGUUUGCUGGCUAGUUAAACAUUCUGAAUUAAGAACUAUAAAUUCAGGCAUAUCUCAUUUUAUUGUGUUUUAUGUUACUGCACUUUGCAGAUAUUGCAUAUUUAAAAAAAUUGAAUGUCUGUGGCAACCCUGUGUCAAAAAUGCCUAUUGCCAUCAUUUUUGUCAAUAGCACUGCUCAGUUCAUGACUCUGUAUCUCAUUUUGGUAUUUCUCACAAUAUUUCAAACUUUCUCAUUAUUAUUAUAUCUUAUGGUGAUCUCUGAUCAAUGAUCUUUGAUGUUAUUAUUGUAAACGUUCUGUGGUGCCACAAAGAGUGCCCUAAAAUUAGUUGUGUCUAAAAUUAGACCAAUUAAUAACCCUAUGAUGGCUUCUAACUGUUUAGGUGAAGAGUUAUUUUCUCUCACUUUAAAUCAAAAGCUAGAGGUGAUUAAGCUUGGUGACGAAGAUAUGUUGAAAGCUGAGCUAGUCUAGAAGUUAGGCCUCUUGUGCCAAAC